AGGAACUUCACUGAUUUCUAGCUCACCUGACUGCAACCUAUCAUACAAAUGUUGGAAGGCUAAUAUCUCAGCCUGUCUGGUUAACAAAAUGGUGUCAGAAGUGGGAUCUUAUAUAAGGUCACCUUCAGAAGGAAUUAACAGUUCUUGGAAUCAGCGUACAGUACUCACUGGAGCCCUUUGAACUCUGUUUCCACAGCCUGCCUUUCUGCCUUGAUCAUAUACCUACAAGUAUGCAAAAGAAAAUAAACUAAAAUUUAUCUACUCAGAGAAAAAACUAUCUUGGGACAUUUUCUUAAAGAAAACAAGUUAGAGUGAAGGUGUUGAGAAAAUGGGAUAAUAGAAUGAGUGAGCUUCAGCUGCUGCCCAGGAAUCCUGUGUCAUGCAAAGUGGUGCAUAAA